rnacentral:rRNA from 1 species
AUUAAAAGUAGCGGAGAGCGAACUUAAUAAUUACUUAAAGUAAAAAAAGAAUAUAGAAUGAUCGUACAUUCAAGUAUAACACAAAUUAUUUAAACCUAUAGAAAAAGUACUGUGAAGGAAUAAUCAUAAAAACAAAAAGAUUUACAACACCUAUUAUUAUCAAAAAUAAUGUACCUUUUGUAUAAUGGGCUUGCAAGAAAAUACUUAACAAGUUUUUUAACUAACAAAAAUCAUAGUUAAAGUAUCCCGAAACUAAGUGAUCUAAUCUCAAACAGUUUUUAAGAACGAACCACCAGCUGUUGCAAAAGCUUUGGAAGAUUUGAGAAUAGAGGCGAAAUACCAAUCGAACUUAGAAAUAGCUGGUUUUCUAUUAAAAAUUUAUAAGAAUAUAUUAACAAAAAAUUUAAAAAUUCGUACAACCAACAAUUUUAAAUAUGUGUUAAAAAUCAGAUUAAUGGCGAUAAGGUCGUUAAUCAACAGGUAAACACACCCUUGUAGAAGAAAAAGUCACAAAUAAUUUAAGUGUACAAUAAAACCCGAUAAAUUCAAAAGGAAAAUUAGCUUGGAAUCAGCUAUUUUAUAAUUAACGCGUAACAGCGAACCUUAACAAUCUUUGUUUUCAAAAUUAAGAUGGCUAAACAUAACUUAUUCUCUACACAUAUUAAUAGAACGAACUGUAUUAUAAUAGCAUAAGCAAAAAAACAGUAGCGAUAAUGCAAGCAUUAUUAGUUAAAAAAUUCUGCGGUUUUACACAUAAAACGGUUUUUAAAAUAAAAAAUAAUCCAAUAAAAAGAUUUAAUUCAAGAAAAAUUAUCGGACUUAUACCGUACUUUCUAACACCAGCAGAAAAAAAGACAAUAAAAUUUCAACUAAGGAACUAGGCAAAUUAAAUGAACACAUUAAUAAAGAGAUCGACUGUUUACCAAAAACAUAGCCCCGUGAAUACCCUUACGAGGUGCUACCUGCUCAAUGAUUACUAAUAACAAACAUAAAUAACAAUAAUUAAAUAGCCGCGGUAACUCUGACCGUGAUAAAGUAGCAUAAUCACUUGUCAUUUAAUUGGUGACUGGAAUGAAUGGUUUAACGAAUCUCUAACUGUCUCAGUUGAAAAUAUUAACAAAUUUAAAAUAACAGUGAAGAUGCUGUUGUUAAAUUGUAAGACGAAAAGACCCUAUUGAGCUUUACUGGACAAUCUGCAGAAAAUAAUAAUUCGUGAAACAUCACAGACAUCACAUAUCUUGCAGAUAAGACAGUUUGGUUGGGGCGACCACCUCUAAAACAGUAACAGAGGUAAUCUAAAGGUAUUAACUUAAUGGUAAUAACUUAACUGCAAUAACUAUAAUUUAACCAGAUAUACAACGUAGGACAUAAUGACCCGUUAAGAUUAACGACCAAUCUUAACGAUAAUAAAAUAAGUUACCAUAGGGAUAACAGGGUAAUAAUUUCAGAGAGUUCAAAUCGACGAAAUUGUUUGCCACCUCGAUGUUGAAUUAUGAUAACCUGGAGGUGUAGCAGCUUCCAAGGGUCAGUCUGUUCGACUGCAAAGAUCAUACAUGAUUUGAGUUCAUUCCGUCGUAAGACAGGAAGGUUUCUAUCUACAAUUUCAGGCUACCAAUAAUUUAUAGUACGAAAGGAAUUAAACUUAUUAUUAAUAAAAAAUUAAUAUAAAAAAUUACAUUGAACGAAUAUAAAAG